UGAGGGUUGCAACCAAGCGU
rnacentral:siRNA from 1 species